GACGAACGCUGGCGGCGUGCUUAACACAUGCAAGUCGAACGAAAAGAGGGAAAGAGCUUGCUCUUUCCGGAAUUGAGUGGCAAACGGGUGAGUAACACGUAAACAACCUGCCUUCAGGAUGGGGGCAACAGACGGAAACGACUGCUAAUACCGAAUAAGUUCCAAGAGCCGCAUGGCCCAUGGAAGAAAAGGUGGCCUCUACCUGUAAGCUAUCGCCUGAAGAGGGGUUUGCGUCUGAUUAGCUGGUUGGAGGGGUAACGGCCCACCAAGGCGACGAUCAGUAGCCGGUCUGAGAGGAUGAACGGCCACACUGGAACUGAGACACGGUCCAGACUCCUACGGGAGGCAGCAGUGGGGAAUCUUCCGCAAUGGGCGAAAGCCUGACGGAGCAACGCCGCGUGAGUGAUGACGGCCUUCGGGUUGUAAAACUCUGUGAUCCGGGACGAAAAGGCAGAGUGCGAAGAACAAACUGCAUUGACGGUACCGGAAAAGCAAGCCACGGCUAACUACGUG
rnacentral:rRNA from 1 species